rnacentral:rRNA from 1 species
AUUGAACGCUGGCGGAAUGCUUUACACAUGCAAGUCGAACGGUAGAGGGGGCAACCCCUCGAGAGUGGCGAACGGGUGAGUAAUAUAUCGGAACGUGCCCAGUCGUGGGGGAUAACGUAGCGAAAGUCACGCUAAUACCGCAUACGAUCUAAGGAUGAAAGCGGGGGAUCGCAAGACCUCGCGCGAUUGGAGCGGCCGAUAUCAGAUUAGGUAGUUGGUGGGGUAAAGGCUCACCAAGCCAACGAUCUGUAGCUGGUCUGAGAGGACGACCAGCCACACUGGAACUGAGACACGGUCCAGACUCCUACGGGAGGCAGCAGUGGGGAAUUUUGGACAAUGGACGCAAGUCUGAUUCAGCCAUUCCGCGUGCAGGAUGAAGGCCCUCGGGUUGUAAACUGCUUUUGUACGGAACGAAAAGGUCUCUCUUAAUACGGGGGACUCAUGACGGUACCGUAAGAAUAAGCACCGGCUAACUACGUGCCAGCCGCCGCCGUAAGAC